rnacentral:antisense_RNA from 1 species
UGUAGGAGUGAGCCUGCUCGCGAUGGCGUAGUGUCAGUUGACUUCAAUGCGGCUGAUAUACCGCUAUCGCGAGCAGGCUCACUCCUACA